rnacentral:rRNA from 1 species
UACGAAGGGGGCUAGCGUUGCUCGGAAUCACUGGGCGUAAAGGGCUCGUAGGCGGCCAACUAAGUCAGACGUGAAAUCCCUCAGCUUAACUGGGGAACUGCGUCUGAUACUGGAUGGCUUGGAUUCGGGAGAGGAAUGCGGAAUUCCAGGUGUAGCGGUGAAAUGCGUAGAUAUCUGGAGGAACACCGGUGGCGAAGGCGGCAUUCUGGACCGACAUUGACGCUGAGGAGCGAAAGCCAGGGGAGCAAACGGG